GGGAGAGAGAGCCCGGCUGCCGCGGGCGUCGUGCGACGCGCGCGAGGAAAGUCCCCCCACCUGUUCGGGCAGGUGACCAGACGCAAGUCCGGGGCGGGAGACCGCUGGCUCUGGAACAGAAACGACACGUCUCGGCCCGACCGAUGAUGCGUGCGAACCCGACCGCGAGGAAGGGGAGUUGACCCGCAGAGGGAGUGUGGUCGGUAUCCCGUGGUUCGAAUCCACGGAUUGCGAGCGCGGUUCGACGCGUCUCUGACGCGGGACCCGCGACCGAGUGCGACGGCACGAGCCGUCGAACACGCACGGCGCGAUUGACCACACUGAGACGGCCGAGGAGCGAUGGAACGGCGAACCCUCACCGGUGCAAGUCCGUGCCGUGGUAGCCCGAACAUCUCGCGGCUCCGCCGCGAACGGCGCGGACGCUUAGCCGAAUGCUGGGACGAACAGAAGGGGGCUUACUCCUCUCACCCGUUUU
rnacentral:RNase_P_RNA from 1 species